rnacentral:lncRNA from 1 species
UUAUUCCACUUUCAACUUGUUGAAUUUUCUUAAAGAACGCCUAAUAAUAAAACAUUUUGAUAGUCCCAUCACUUUCCCGAAUUAAUUAAAUACUUUAACUAGUCUGGUCCCAUCCAUGACUUUAAUUAGCUACUCGUUUCUGAGAAGUUGACGGUUUGACUCUUGAAGUCUUUGCCAUUCUGCUGGUUUGAAAUUGAGGUCUUUAUCAAUAUUCAAGAGGUGGGUCCCUUAAAGAAGAAGGAAGGAAAAAGAAAAAAGAGAUAAUAAGUUUUGAGUUUAUGGAUAUUUUAAGAAAAUGACAGCUUAUUAGAUUUUAGGUAACUUAUUUAUACAUAUUCAAUAAAUUUUUUAAUAUAAAUAUAAAAUUUUGAUCAAAACUACUGAAUUUAUCGAUAGCAUUAUAAUUAGAACUCUAGCUUGCUGUGCCUUAAAGAUGUGGCGUGUGGUUCUAAUUGGAACAACGUAUUCAAGCUUUUGAGAAGACUUGAUCGAGAGAGAGAGAUCGUUCAAUUAUCUGUGUUCUCAAUAGCUGUUGCACUUUACUGACUGAAAUAAAUACAUCGUAUAUAUUCUGAGCCACCCGGACCUUACUUCUCAAAGUUUACUGGGUUGUUGUUGUUGUAUAUUCCCGCCAAAGCGACCAUUAAAAUCUAUGUUUUGCCGACAGUACUCUUGUUCCCUUUUUGGUUUUAAGCAUUUGUUUUCAUUUUAUGGAUGACUUUAAGUUUUAGGGAUGCAGCCUUACUUAAUAUUUCUACAAAAUGCUGAUUUCCUAGCAACUUUUACUGUUGUGUCAAGGUUUUUAUAUAAUUAAAAAGAAAAUAGAACAAUCAAAAUGCAAAAUAAUUCCCUCACAGUAAUCCCAAAAUAAUUCUCCCAAAACAAAAAUAAAAACACAUAAAAAGGAAAAAACCCGAAAAUAAAACAAACACUAAACUAACCUGUUUUGAGUCCAAAAAUACUAGCUCCACAAGCUUGAACUACUUGUGUUUUGCUUCUUAUUUUAACCUACAUGUACGGAUAUUUUCCUUCCAGAAAUCUAUUUCGGAAUUCGGAAGGAGUGACCUGUUAUAUAUCCACUUCUUUUAAGGAUAGUUUGACGGUGCUGGUGGAGGUGGUGGUGGUGGACAAGGAGGAGGAGACUUAAAGUGAGUAUUCCAAUUAGGCUUU